AUCCCUGUUGCUUGGUCGAGCCAGGAAAGCAAAAAUACAACUUUACCCAGCAUCAGCAGACCUAGUGGUCAACUUACCCAAUAACACCAAGUUCUUCAAGGACAACUUUCAGAUCCGCAGAAGGGCGGUGGAUUAUGGAGUACCACUUACACAAACUUCCAGGUAGUAAAGCUGUUUGCAGAAGCCAUUAGAUAUUCCAGUGAUUUAAAUGCCACCAGCCUGUUCCACCACCAACAAAGUGAUCCCAGACUGUCGGAGAGCUCUGCUGCAAGGUUAACUUCUAAUCUCUAAAACAGAGGACUCAGCUAUCCAUCUCAGUUAU